rnacentral:rRNA from 1 species
CUUACACAUGCAGUCGAGCGGAGUGAUGGUGCUUGCACUAUCACUUAGCGGCGGACGGGUGAGUAAUGCUUAGGAAUCUGCCUAUUAGUGGGGGACAACAUUUCGAAAGGAAUGCUAAUACCGCAUACGCCCUACGGGGGAAAGCAGGGGACCUUCGGGCCUUGCGCUAAUAGAUGAGCCUAAGUCAGAUUAGCUAGUUGGUGGGGUAAAGGCCUACCAAGGCGACGAUCUGUAGCGGGCCUGAGAGGAUGAUCCGCCACACUGGGACUGAGACACGGCCCAGACUCCUACGGGAGGCAGCAGUGGGGAAUAUUGGACAAUGGGGGAAACCCUGAUCCAGCCAUGCCGCGUGUGUGAAGAAGGCCUUUUGGUUGUAAAGCACUUUAAGCGAGGAGGAGGCUACUUAGAUUAAUACUCUAGGAUAGUGGACGUUACUCGCAGAAUAAGCACCGGCUAACUCUGUGCCAGCAGCCGCGGUAAUACAGAGGGUGCGAGCGUUAAUCGGAUUUACUGGGCGUAAAGCGUGCGUAGGUGGUCUUUUAAGUCGGAUGUGAAAUCCCUGAGCUUAACUUAGGAAUUGCAUUCGAUACUGGGAGACUAGAGUAUGGGAGAGGAUGGUAGAAUUCCGGGUGUAGCGGUGAAAUGCGUAGAGAUCUGGAGGAAUACCGAUGGCGAAAGCAGCCAUCUGGCCUAAUACUGACACUGAGGCACGAAAGCAUGGGGAGCAAACAGGAUUAGAUACCCUGGUAGUCCAUGCCGUAAACGAUGUCUACUAGCCGUUGGGGUCUUUGAGACUUUAGUGGCGCAGCUAACGCG